AAAGAAAUAAAUAAAUAAAUAAAAUUUCAUGACAAAAAUAAUAAUUAAUUUAGGUUUUUUAUUUGUAUAGAUUUAUUAGAUAAGGAGUCGACGGAGUUCUAAUUCAUUUCACGUUUCACGUCGUAGGAUAAGAGCAACAUAUUUUUUCAUCAUUGUAGUAGAGGCCACUUGCAUAAUUAAUUUAGAAUUGAAUAGGUAAAGUUUGGCAGCGCGAUUUGGUUUUGGGUGUUCGUAUUUUUUUUCCCCACGCGCACACGUAAGCGAGUGGUUGUUGUACAUUUUGUGGUCGGUUCGGUAAUAUUGCAUGUUGAUCCAAUCAAUUGAAAAUACAUGUUGAAAUUUUUGGCUCUAUUUUAUUUUAAGUUGGCUUUUUUGGUUUUAAUUAAAUUAUUUUCUCUCCUUUUUUUUUUCUUAAUCCAAUUAUUUUUCACUUUUUGUCAUCUUAGAAGUUGAUGGGGAGGCAUUUAUCAUAAAGUAAUUUUAGGCUGAAAGUUCUUUUAAAAUGGUCAAAAGUUGGUUAAUUAAUUUUGGAUUAAAAAUGUCCUUGGUUUUUUUUUUUAAGAAGAAGCAUAGACCCACUUGACUUUUACUAAAUAUUAGUUUUAAAAAUAUUUUAACAAAACAACAAUUUUACUCAUUUUAAAAAUAUUUUCACGAGCUCUUAAUUUUCUCACUUUUUAUAACAUACUUAUGAUUUUUUUUUUUUAACAAACGAUAUUUUUUAUACCAAGUGAAUAAAGUGAGAUGAGUUUCACAAUGAUUAGCAAUAAUGUGGUUCAAAUUCAUUUUUGGCGAAAAUCGAACCAAAGACCUAUCACUAAUAAGAAGAGAAAUACUACUAGUAUUACUAAGUGACAAUAUACCCAUAAUUUUUAAAUUGACAUUUUAGUCAUGGGCUCAUGGGAGAUACGGUUUUUCACUCUUUGCACGUGUACAUUAUCGAUAGUGUGACAAACUGAGAAAGCACACAAUAUUUUCCUUAAAAUGUAUCUUGGAGGCUUACCAUUUUUUGUAUUACACCAUAUAGAUAAUGAAAUGAUUGAUGUAGUUUUGCUCACCGAGUCUGGUUUUGAUUUUGUAUUUAUAGGCCAAAGUGUUCCACUAUGGAUCCAUUAGCUUGAUCGUGGAGCCGUGCAGAUCGGCACAUCUGAAGGCAAUGGAGGUGGCUAAAGAAGCAGGUGCAUUGCUCUCCUACGACCCGAACCUCCGGGAGCCGCUGUGGCCGUCGCGGGAAGAGGCAAAGAAGCAGAUAAUGAGCAUAUGGGAUAAGGCCGAUGUGAUCAAGGUGAGUGAUGUGGAGCUGGAGUUCCUUACAGGGAGCCCCAAGAUUGAUGAUGCCAAUGCCAUGACACUGUGGAGAGAUAGCUUGAAGCUCCUCCUUGUCACUCUUGGUGAGAAGGGUUGCAGAUACUACACCAAGGUCAGUUCCUUAUGCGAUCCAAUCCAAUUCUUUACUAUUUUGUUGCACCUGCAUAUGCAUUGCUUAAUUAGUUCUGAGUUUUUGACUUUUAGUCACGUUGGGCCUGGGGUAGGUGGGGGUGGGGUCUAUGUCCAUGAUUUUGGUUGUGGACAAAGUAAGUUUGAUUAUAUUUCUUGAUAUUAAUGGAAUCUUUAUCUUAUUCAUUUGAUGUUUUUGUUUUGCAUAUUAAAAAAACGAGUUGCUAUUGACACUCUACAAAUGCCGUGGCCGUGCACCAUUUAUGUAACAAAGUAGAAAUAUUUCAAGUAUUAUUAUGUGGCAAAGCAGACAUUUUUGAAGGAGUUAAUAUGUGUUCAAAACUAAUAGAAAAUUGGAGAGUUUCGAACCGGUGACGACGGGUCGUACCCAGUGCACAAGGCUCCCGCUUUACGCAGGGUCUGGGAGAGGUGAAUGUCGGUGACGACACAUGGAUAAAAUUCAACACUCUAUCCACAUGAAUAUUUAGUUUUGAGUUUAGAGGGGAUUGGGUUUUGAAGCAUGGGUAGACAUCCAACUCCCUAUCCAUCAGGAUAUUGAGUUUUGUUUACUUUUUUUUUGGAAACUUUAGGCAUUUGGUUUGGUAAUUGGGUUAAAAACUUAACUUGUGUACAUUACUUGUAAAACAACAAAUACAGAAUUUCCGUGGAGUGGUGGAAUCCUUCGAGGUCAAAGCCGUUGACACUACCGGCGCCGGUGAUUCGUUUGUCGGUGCUCUCCUUGCGAAGAUUGUCGAUGACCACUCUAUUCUUGAAGUAAGCUAUACAGUUGACGAUGAUUUUAUGCAUCUUAUAUGCUAUAUAUAUUUGAAUUAUAUUAAUUUGGAAAGCUGAUGAACGAAUUUGGUUGGAUUUGCAGGACGAGAAGAGGUUGAGGGAGGUACUGAAAUUUGCAAAUGCAUGCGGAGCGAUUACAACAACCAAGAAGGGAGCGAUCCCCGCACUUCCCAACGAGUCUGAAGCCCUCACCCUCUACAAAGCAAAUUAGAACAAGGUGAUGGAUCUCAACAGCAACAAGAAGAAGAGGGGAAUAUCUGCCUCUUUUUAUUUUUCUUUUUAUUUCUCCUCUUUUUAUUACUUUUUUUUUUAUUUGUCAAGUUUGUAGGAGCUUUUGUUUCGAAUUUUGUGUUUUAUUGGAGAGGGAUUUUCCAGCAUUGGUUUGGCUGCGUGUAAUGAUGGAAGUUGGAGGCUUAAGCAUUGCCUAAUAAGUAAUAUGAUUUCUG
rnacentral:lncRNA from 1 species